UACGGGGGGGGCAAGCGUUGUUCGGAAUUACUGGGCGUAAAGGGCUCGUAGGCGGCCAACUAAGUCGGAUGUGAAAUCCCCAGGCUUAACCUGGGAACUGCAUCCGAUACUGGAUGGCUUGAAUCCGGGAGAGGGAUGCAGAAUUCCAGGUGUAGCGGUGAAAUGCGUAGAUAUCUGGAGGAAUACCGGUGGCGAAGGCGGCAUCCUGGACCGGCAUUGACGCUGAAGAGCGAAAGCUAGGGGAGCAAACGGG
rnacentral:rRNA from 1 species